rnacentral:tRNA from 1 species
GCACCUGUGGUGGAACUGGCAUACACAACGGAUUUAAGCUCCGUCGGCGAGUAGCUUAAGGGUUCGAAUCCCUUCAGGUGUA